GCGGCCGUCGUCUAGUCUGGAUUAGGACGCUGGCCUUCCAAGCCAGCAAUCCCGGGUUCGAAUCCCGGCGGCCGCA
rnacentral:tRNA from 5 species